rnacentral:rRNA from 1 species
CAGCAGCAGCCGCGGUAAGACAGAGGAUGCAAGCGUUAUCCGGAAUGAUUGGGCGUAAAGCGUCUGUAGGUGGCUAAUUGAGUCGGAUGUGAAAUCCCCGAGCUUAACUUGGGAAUUGCAUUCGAUACUGGUUAGCUAGAGUGUGGGAGAGGAUGGUAGAAUUCCAGGUGUAGCGGUGAAAUGCGUAGAGAUCUGGAGGAAUACCGAUGGCGAAGGCAGCCAUCUGGCCUAACACUGACGCUGAGGUACGAAAGCAUGGGGAGCAAACAGGAUUAGAUACCCGCGUAGUCCCUGUCUCUUAUAC